AGCCGUGUUGAUUGUGGCCGAUGCGGCGCCAGAUUUCAGCGAGGGAUUACAACUCGCCCGCGCCAGCGUUAACUCCGGCGCGGCACGCGAAAAGUUGGCCCAACUAAUUCGCUACACCAAUACCGCCUGAGAUUACUUGAAGAUGUCGAGCGGAUUGGAUGAGCCUUUGGGAUUGAUCUUCAAUCGUGUAAAUGCAUCGUUAUCCUCGGUGUAGCCCUGCUUGAUGGCAGCCUGCGCUUCUUUUUUAGCUUCGGCCAGGCGACUGGUGU
rnacentral:misc_RNA from 1 species